ensembl:lncRNA
GGGAGGAGGGGAGGGAGGGGAAGGGAGGGAGAGAGAGAGAGAGAGAGAGAGAGAGAGAGAGAGAGAGGGAGGGAGAGAGGGAGGGAGGGACAGGGACAGGGAGAGAGAGAGAGAGAACACGCGUGAUUGGAGAAGGGGGAGGAAGAGAAAUGUGGAAGAGGACAGGGAGAGAGAGCACAGACAGGAAAACUGCAGAAAGCCACAGGGAAAGUACGGUACAGCCUCAGAUAUUUUUAUUUUAAACUUACUUCUAGUUUAUUUCCCCACCACUCCUCUUGGCUCUUGCCUAACUGGGUCGCGUUGGGGAUGUUUGGCAUGGCGCUCUCGCUUUUGUUCGUUUUAAUUCCUCCGGGCCCCCUUCCUCUGCCCGAGGAUUACUAGAUCCCGAAGUCUCCUGCUAACAACCUAGAUCAGCAAGCUCAGCCUACUGUACCACCGCCGGUCUAGAUUUGUUGUUGCUGCUGUUAAGUAGCACUUUCUUCCUUGUGCAGAUGCAGAGCCCUUGUUGUCAAUAUUCAUUUUUUUCUAGUACAAGAUGGGAGCAGCUUAACUCGGAGCAUAGUCCCUCGGUGAGCUGCAGACAGUGGACCACCUCGGAGUCUAGGGGUCCUGGAAGAAGGAAGUGAGACGAGAGUUAGUGGGGUAGGAGUUAGCGGAGAGGGAGUUGUUUGUUGUUUGUUGUUUAUCGAUAUAGCCAAGCGUGUGUGUGUGUGUGUGUGUGUGUGUGUGUGUGUGUGUGUGUGUGUGUGUGUGUGUGUGUACGCGGGUACAACCGCGCGCGACCGGUGUGCGCCUACAAAGUGAAUCUUGGAUCUGGGAAGCACUGGAGGAGAGCGAUUAAAAAGCAACUGGAAGAGAAGAUACUUGUGAGGAGUGGCUGUCGCUCGCUGCCCAGCUUUGUUGUGGUUGCCCUGGGCUCAGCGGCCGCUCGGCUGUAACGAGGGCUAAAGGCCGAGUUAAUUACACCGGGCAGAUUUCGCUGGGUGGGGAGGAUGGGACUGGCUUCUAACGAACUUUUCCCAAAAGGAAAAGGAGGCGAGUGGGGUUAGAAAGGUAAAUACCCGACAAGGUUUUGGUAGAAACUUGUUCUGGCCGGGGUCCCGCUCAAUCCCUGGCCUGAGUUCCAGCUGGCUUUACCUCUGCGCCGCUGCUUCCCGGAGGCUGCGCGUCAAUCAAGCAGAGCCGAGAGCUGGGGGCGGAGCUUUGGUCACCCCGCGCGCGUAGCCCGGCUCACCCUGCCGCCACCCGGCAGCUGGCUGAGCGACCCAGCCAGGCACUGGGAGCGCGCCUUCUCCCCAACUUCUCACCCUCGCCAAGGGUUCCCUGCCCGAGGCCAAGAGAAUCUCAAACAGACUAAGAGACUGCUGUUCUACCGCGGCCUCCCUUCCCAACUCUGAACCCAUUCUGUAAAAAGAACUCCAAGAUUACAAAUACCCACUUCAUUUGAUGCUGAGUUACUCGUCGACACAUAAGAAAAGGUUUUCUAUUUCCAUCCACACUACUUUCCUUUGGAUUCUAAAGGAGGUCUUUAUUACAGUUUCCAGUGCAGACAGCGGACCCCCGCACCGGCCAGCACCUUAGCCCUUGCAACUAGAUGGCAGUCCGUCCACCCGAAUCUUUCAGGCUUCCCAGUCCUAAUCCAGCAUGGCUCACGCCCAUCUUCUCCCUCUGAUGAGCACCUUAUCGGUGUUAAACGUGUUGACAAGUCUCACGGUCUCCGCGGGCGGUGUUUUGAAGGGGCUUAAAACUACAGUUGGGAACUUUGCUGGAAAGAAACACACUGGGAUUCCCUGUUGGUACAGCCUGGCUAACUUUGAGGUCUGAAGGCCCGGACGCCCGUUGUGAGUGGAAAGAGGCUUCUAUGGGACAGGGCAGAACGGCAGGGGACCAAACCUUUGCAAAAGGAAUGUGACUUCGGUGGAACACGUGCUCUCAGAACGCCAGGAUCUAGCUUUCCAAGGGACCGCCUCAGUCUGCAGUCUGCUCCCAAAGCGCCUGCCCAUUUUCUCUUCCUCAGUUAACCAGAGUUGUUCCCAGCAUCCCCACCAAACACAUUCACAAUCUGGAAAGAAGUGUCAAAAGUAGGGAAGAGCCCUAGAAACCCCACAGAGUAGAGCCAGACAACACAUACCGCCGAGGGAGCCAGUGGUGCUAAACCGGAGUCGCACGCAUCUUUCGCAACCCAUAAACACUCCGCAGUAUGAGCAGAGGUUAGAGAAGACUGAGACCAAGAUAUACGGUCAAACCUUCCAGGUGCCUCAUCACAGGGCUGCUAUAUUCACUCAUAUUCUUUUAUUUCUCUUCCUCUCCCCUUCUCCCUCUUCAUACCUCUCCCCUGCCUCCCUUUCCUUCCCUUCUUUCUGUUUCCCUCAUCCUCCCUCUCAACCCCCCCUUAACCCCCCCCCCCCCCCCGCCUUCCUUCACACUCAGACAGAGAAACCUCCAAUCUUUGCUUUAAGCAAAUGUCUUCCACUUACUCCUCUAAUCGGCGGGACAUACGAGGCCGGAGGCGAGUUAUGGAUGCAUUUCCUAAGAGCCAUCUAUUGUUUUGAAGUAGAAAUGAGGCCACAUACCCUAUUAUAACCAGAAGGUAGCCACUACAGGUGUUAGAAACUCUGUCCUCUGAGUGUUCUGAACCAAAGAGUCCCAAAUCUGGGCUCUGCUUAAAAUGGCAAAAUAGAAUGGAAAAGAGCCUGGCGAGGGGGGCAGUGAAGAAUUCCUCCCACUCCCCACUGCUGAGGGAGGCAGGCUAGUUUGGGUGUAAUUAAUUGAAGAUUCUUAUUAGGUCAUCAUUAGUCAAUGUGCAAAUAAUUGCUGCCCAUUUUUACUUAAAAUUGACCAGUCUGAGUGUGAUAGAUCGAUUCAGAGGAUAAAAAUGAUGUAUCAAAACAUCAAUGUCGAUUAUUUGAAAUAUUGUAGUCGAAUUUUUUUAUUGCUUCAUCGGUUAAGUGUCUGAAAGUGCGGUGUUCAAACAUAUAUUUAUGUUGUCAAUACUGUCAGAACUGUCAGUUUUACUAUACCGGAUUUGUACUACAUUUCAAAUUUGCUCAUUUGCAUAAAAUGCCCACCCUAGGAAUUCCCCCCACUCCCACCCCAUCUCUGGAAAAUCCCUGUCAGUUUCUUCAAAGGAUUCUGCAAUCUUUGCCCAAGCUAAAGUGGGCACUGCUUCUUUUACUUAAAUUUCCAGGACGGAUUACAUGUCUUUUUCACCAUUUCUAGCUUUGGAAGGAGCACUUCCUCCUUUUUUUGCCCAACCAUGCCUAGCAUAACCUUUUCUCCAAGACAGUAUUGGAGCAAUGCAAACACCACAUUCUAGCUACAAAAUACAGCACUUGGGUAAGAAAAAUGUAUAAAACAGAUUCCACCAGACCUUCUUGGCCACCCUCAAGUAAACCCAGAGGCCACCAAGCCUGGGCAUCAGGGCCCACCAUCAAAUUACCUGAAAAAUUGAAGUCUUCCAAGAAAAAUGAAUGUAGAUGUAAAAAUACCUUUUCUUUCUUUACUUAAAAGCUGAGAUGGUAGGAAAGGAAAUCACACACAUAAGUGAUCUGCACGUUUUACCUUUAAAAGCUUUUGAACUCCAUCGAAAGACACAGGUUGCAAGCAGAACUGACAGUUUUAAUUCUACCCAUUUUCCUGUAGCACGUCAGAUCAGAGGCACUCAUUUAUUUUAUGGGGUGGGGCAUUAGAAAAGCAGAUAGGGUGAAUUCGAUUAUCUCCAUCCUAAAAAUCCCAGGGAAAUUAGACUCCCUUAUUGAAACGUAAAUAUUCCAUUGCUCUGUACAAUUAGUCUAGACUAAUUGAAAUUUAUAAAUUCACAUUCUGCCUAAUCUUAAGCUUUUCAUUCCCUUAGCCGCCCCCCCCUUUCCCCGGCCCCAGGAUUCCAGCGAAGUCUGGUAGGUAAGGAUGUGAUGUUGUUUUAGUAAGCCUAAAGCACUUUCAUUAUCCUUUUUAAUGUAUUUAAAUAGGUCUGCUUGGACUUUCAAAGAACCUACACAUACAAAGAUGGUUUGGCUCCAUGCCGUCAAUCCCAGCACUAAAAACAGAAAAAACAAAACAAAACAAAAAACCAAAACCCAAACCCUGAGCGUUCCUAUAUUCAUCCUUGCCUCGAACAAAUAAAUAAGUAAAUAAAGUGCAAGGCAAAAGAAAGUUUGCUGCUUGCAUCUGUAGGUCGUCGUGUGCGCUUGUAUAAACAUCUUGGAGUCAGUGUUUGUGCGUUGCCUCCCCCACUCCCCAGGCAAGGGCGUGUAGAGAUCGCCCCCGGAGAGCGGUGUUUACUCGGUUUUGUUUUUGUGUGUUUUUUUUUAAUUUUUUUGUUUUUUGUUUUUUGCUUUUUUAAAUCUCCCGGCUAUGUAUGACAAGCGUUGCUUAAAGAAAUUCAUCGGCCUUCCCCAGAUACUUCCAGGUUUGCCAUAAUGAUCUGCAGAAGAGAACUGCCACCACUUUCUCACGUCCUAAGGUGUUGGCGGAACUCGGAGCGAGGGGAGAGUGACUGCAGCGCUUAAUUGCAGAAGGGAGGGCGGGGUGCCUCCCGGGAUCCGGGGCGGGGGUUGGGGAGGUAAGAUACAACCCAGGAACGAUCUUUCUGGACGCUCGAGUAGCCAGUUGGAGAAUAUUUGGACAAGGUAUGAUUGUCUUGUCCCCCCUCCCCCCCAUCCCAAUGCCUUUGGGGAGAAGUGAUACCCUUGUGUAACAAUUAGCUCAGACAAUAAAAAUAAUUGGAAAAUCAGUUGG